GAAAUCUCGGUGCCAUCGAUGCAAGACGGAGAUUGUCACAGACACAGGCCAGCUCCCACAGACAGCUGGCUUCUGGCCCCCACGUGGGAGGACUGGCUGGGGGUGGGAGGAAUGGGGCAUGGGGCCUUUCCCCUCUAGGGGGCGCUGGCUCCGAUCUGCCCCAGGGUGGGACACUGGCUGGCUCCACGGUGUGGGAAUGGGACCCGGGGUCCUUCCCCGCUACGGUCUCUCAGCAGGGGACACACCAGCAGAUUGGAGCUGGUCCACUGAGCGCAGAUGUCUGCUUUCUGUCUCUCGGUUCCUCAAACACCUCACGGGUCACUGAGUCUGGGGAUUCCCUUGUGAAUUCUCGGCUGGAUCAGGAGAGGCAGCUGGAUUCCACGGCCCGCCACAGACUCCGUCCUUCGACUUAAGAGGAUUCCUCCACGUUCAGGCCACAAACCACCCCUGGAUUGGAGAGGGGAUCUGUCUUGAUCCAUGGAGCAAACGGACGUCUUCUGGGGGAAAACCAUCGCUGCCGCCAUCCUCUACAGGGAGUUGUUGGAGGAGGCGUGGGCCCACUUCUGGUUGCUGGGGGACCUGGAGAAGGAUACCCAGCUGCUGUUGUGGAAGCAGAAGGAAGGACAGACCUGGUGCCAGGAAAUCCGUGGUUACCAACUCAGGCAUAUAGAUGGGGCUGUUCCUCUGCAGCCGGAAAAGCUGAGCUAAAAACCGACUCUCACUGGAAAGGGGAAAUGAGAAAUGAGACUUCACCUGGGGGACAGCCACCCUGCCUCAGACCCAUCUAGCCCAGUAUCCAGCCCCCUCCCUGCUGACCCAGAUCUGUCCCAUAAGCCUGGAAGCACAUGGAAGCUGCCUGUAAUAUUUUUAUGACUAUUAUAUAUUGUCUGUUUUCCCGAUAGUUAUUAUGCUGUUUUUCCUAUGUCUAUGACGGCUGAUAGGAGCUCAGAUACUCCAGUGAUGAACGUGGUAAAAGGACACAGAGAGAAUUGAACGGGAUAGAAUAGAAUACCCAUAUUUACUGAUCCUCACAAGAGAAUGCAGAAACCAACAACUGUGAAGAUUGUUCCCAACUAGAACCGGGCAAAACUUUGUUCUGGUGAAAAAUUCAGAUUCAGUCACACCAAAA